CUCCAUUCCGCCUAUGCAGUACCAGGCACAAGGCAGAGCACAUAUACAACCAGCUGCAUGUUUUUACAAAGCUGGAGGAAACGUGUACAAAUACCAGUGGAGGAUAUACAAACUCUACAGCCAAGUGCAAGGCUACAGUGCUGAUCGCUGAAGCAGCGUGGUGCUCAGACAAAUGUAGUAUUUGAUGAGGAAAAUGUUUCACUAUGAAGAAGGUGUGACACCGGCCGAGGAAGAGGGACAGGGAUACAGAAAUGCCAGCUGCAGCGAGAUUUAAUGAAAGCACUGAAGCGCUAGCUCCAAAGGGAAUGGGCUGAGAGAAUGGUCGUGGUCCGAAAGCAGGGGUCAGAAGCCAAGGAAUCCGUCCAACACGGAGACACGGGACAGGAGCACACGGGGAAGCGGUAACAGGACGGGCCGGACUCAGCGGGGGAGACGGGUCAGGUUCGGGAACGGGUCUGGGAAGAGGACGAGGAGAAGGCAAGGUGAACACACAGGGCGGACGGAACAGGUACGGGAAACCAGGGAGACGAGAGACAAGAAAACGCUCAGCAAGGCUCAAAGACAUCGGCACAAUACUUCGCAGCGUCCUCCGGUCUGUCUGUGUCUUUUGACUGCUAGUCAAUGAGGAUCACUGCGACGCGCCUGGUGGGCUCCGCCCCUGUGGGCGUGACAGAAGGGUCAACUAAAAAAGUAUUUCUGACUGAAAUAAAUUAUAUGGUUUUGAUCUUAAAUUUGUCUGGAACAAUACAGGUAUGUAAUGAAAUAUGCUUCAUUUCAUAAUUGAUUCUGUAAAUCCAAUUUAUAAUAGUGCAUCUAUUUUUAAGAAACGGCAUCCCAGAUACACAGAGAUCAAUGCCAUCUUUUACUUAUGCAGAGAAUUUGUACAUUUUUAUGUACUGUGUAGUAUAUUCUAUAUUUACUCAUUCAUCAUUUUAUCCCAUAUGCUAAAAAAUGCCAAGUUUCAUGGCCUCCUCCGUUCCUUAAAAUUUUACAGAGACCAUGAAAGUAGGACAGGGUAAUACAUAUGCUUUGCCAAAUGACAGUGAUCAAGAACAUAAGAAGUGUAACAAAAAGCAGAAAGUGUUCUUUUAGAAACCCCAAAAAACUAUCACUGGUUAUUUUUAAUGACACAUCAUGCCCAGCUUCUUUAUCAUCAAACAUUUGACAGCAUUUUCUCUGAGCAAAAAUCACUUUUUUCAGGCAAUUCGGUCAUGAUUUACCUGGCAAUGACAGUGUUUAGUGUUAAGCCAAAAUGCAAUUACAUCAUGUAUCCUGCAUCAACAUAACAUCAAACAACUCCCCAGACAUCAAGAGGGGCUCUCGGUUUUUGCUUGAGCAGCAGCCUUUGGGCAUGGCAAGGCACUGAGCGAAAAGUACAUUUUGUCCCAACAUCUUCACAGUCAAGCCUGAAGUGAUCACACACUAUUCUGAAUUCGGGCACAAAGCAUGAAUAAUUAGCCAGGAUAUGUAUGUGCCUAGUGUGAUUUGUUAUCAUUUGUUUUUUUAUUCAUCUUUUAGUAAGAGCAAUGCAUGAUAAAUGACUAAUUAAAAAAUGUGGUCCUAUAUAUUGUGUCAGAGGAGGAUCUACAGUCCUUAUAGCCCCCUGGUUCAGUGCCAGUACAUGUGACCUGCACAGUGCAGUGGGGUGGCUUGCAGCUGGGUGUCAGGGGGGCAGGGAAGGACCAGCGAUUCCAAGUCUCAGGUCAUGGUUCUUCACAAAAAGGGUGGAUUGCCCUCUCCUGGUUGAGAGAUGAGUUGUGUCAGGCAGAGGCAUUUAAGUAUCUCCCUGAAACUUGGCAUUUUUUAGCACAUGAGUGAGAGAAGAAGGGAGCAGGAGAUUGGCAGAUGAUUCGGUGCAGUAAUGUGGAUUCCGUACCAUUCUUUCAUGAUAAAGAGGGAGUCGAACCAGAAAGCAAAGCUUUCAAUUAACCGGUCAAUCUUCAUUCCAACCAUCAUUUAUGAUCAUGAGCUCUGGGUAGUGACCAAAAGAAUGAUACAAGGAGCAGAAAUGAGUUUCCUCUGCAAGGUGUCUGGGCUUAGCUUUAGAGAUAGGCUGAGGAGCUCAGACAUUCGGGAGGGGCUCAAAGUAGAGCCGUUGCUCCUCUGCAUCGAAAGGAGUUUGUUGAGGUGGUUUGGGUACCUAUCUAGGCUGCCUCCUGGAUGCUUCCCUGCAGAGGAGUUUCAGGCAUCGUAAGGAGGCCCCAGGGCAGAACCAACACAUGCUGGAGAGAUUAUAUCUCUCGACUGGCCUGGGAACACCUUGGUAUUCUCCUGGUUGGGCCGGUAGGAGGUGGCUAGUGAGAGGAAGGUCUGGGCAUCCCUGCUGGUCCUGCAAACCAACCCCAGAUAAGCGACAGAAAAUGGAUGGAUGGAUGGAUGGAUAUAUUGUGUCUUUAAACUGAACAUUCACACAUUCUGACAAAAGCAAUAAAAUACUGGGUUCACUAUUAAGUGGUUCUAAAGACAUAAAACUAAUAAUCAAUGUUAUGCCAUGAUACACUGAACUACUAUCAAGUAUAGGGAAUGCAUAAUUGCACACACAUACAGAGAUAAACACACACACAAACACACACACACACACACACACUUGCAGUAACAACAAUCCACCCAGUACAGUACAUGUGUCUUUGAAAUAUGAAAUUACGCAUAUCCAUCAUUGUGUAUGUUUUGGUGGUUAUGGUUAUAUGUAAAAACAAAGGUGAAAAAAAAGAUUAUAUCACAGUGCUUCAACAAACUGCAUGAAAACUUUUCUUCAAAAGACUUUGAAAAUCUUUCACAAUGCUAAUUUUAAAGCACUAUACUUUAUUGUGCAGUGUACUGUUAAUGACAAAUGUGCAGCAAUUUCUUUUUAUACUGCUAAUUAUCAGUGCAAAUGGAUCACAUAAGAAUGAAUUCUAAUUUAUGAAAAUAACAGGUUCGAAAUUGGCAGUGUCACUAGAUCUGCACACCUGAAAAUGGCAGGUGUGAAUAUAGUCAGACAUUACAGGCAGGAGACAUGACAGGUAUUACUUCCAUUGUUAAUUACCCCCAGUAUUUCAGGAAGCAGACAAAGGUGAGCAUGUGGACUUAAAUGCUGAAUUCAGACAGGCAUACUGGCUUCCCAGGACUGAACUACAAAAAAGAGAUAAUGUCCAAUGCUGCCGACAAUGUCAGGCUGUUCACUCGUUGACUCUUUCUCUCCUUGCCAGCACGUUUGUCUCGCUGUUGCUGUAGUUGUCCUGAUCACAGAAAAAUUGAACCUCAGCAACUUCUACUUAUUAUUUUUUUUUUCCAUCACAUGCAGACGCAGAGAAAUCGAUUUAGCUCCCCUCAUCCCCAGGAAAUCUGUCCUCCCCUCUUGUUCGUGGCCUUCCUCUAUCCUGCUACAGGAAGUUUUCCUUUAAUGGUUGAGCACACAAUCAUCGCUCCUCACAUCAAAACCAUCCAGCCAUACAGAUUAAAACAGCAUGCCUACCACCUCAAGUAUACUCUGUUGUAUCGCUGCCCAGGGUUAAUAAAACAUUCCAUAAGCAGACAAUGCACACGAUUCUAAAACUUAUUUUUUUCACGAUGGAUUUUUUCAUAGGCAAUAAAAUAUUUAAAUUAGUUAUGUGCUAGUAAUACAUUUUUAUUUUACUUUUUAAAAGAUCAAUAAAAAGUGGUAGGUGUGUGUUUGUUGUAAUAUUUAUUCCUCAUAUCAAAAACCAGAAUUUAAACUGUCUACCCAAAGAGAUUAGAAAAUAGUCUGGAUGCAGCUGCUUAGCCCUCAAAAAUCUCCCACCCCCAUCACUCUGUACCCCAAAGGCAGGCAGAGGUCACUCAGUGUUCCUUCUAAUUAUUAUUUUAAUGAAAACCUAACUGUCCACCCACCUGCAUCUCACCAUUUAUCUAUGUGACACCUAAAGUUUACUGAAAUAUAAUGUCACAGAAAUUGGUUAUAACCCAUAAUCAAUCAUAUAUCUUUCUCAUAACUUUGGAAUGGAUUGAUGGAUGGAUUUUCUCAUUAAUUGUAGGCUGAACAACAAAUCAUAUGUACAGGCGAUGUAACUCUAAAAAACAAGCAAACAAAAAAAAAAAACAAAUAUUAAUAAGAAUUAUAAUAAUCCAACCACUUGUUCUAUUCAGGGUCAUGUGGGGUCUGGAGCCUAUCCCGGAGACUAGCAAGGCAGGGAACAACUCAGGAUGGGGGACAAACCAAUCGCAGGGCACACGCACACAGGCACACCUAUGGGCAAUUUGAUAACUGCAGUUAGUCUCAGCAUGUUUUUGGACUGUGGGGGAAAGCCGGAGCACCUGGAGGAAACCCCACGACGUCAGGAGGACAUGCAAACCCCACAUCCAUGGAGCCACAGCGGAGCCUUCAACGCAGGUCCCAGAGGUGUGAGGCAACAGUGUUAACCACUGCACCACUGUACAGUACCAUCAAUAAUAAGCUUCUCUGAAAAGGUGAAAUGCGAUACACUCAGCACCCGUCUGCAUGUUGGCUCUGCAUAUAUAAGCUGAAUAUACCGCAGUUUGGGCAGAAUCCCCACUUUUUCUACAGUGUUAAGUGCUUCUCAGAAGGUCCAAGCAAGGCUGGAACAUGGACACUGAUGUUUCAUCACUGAUGAUGAUGAGUUUUAGUCUCAUCCAUAUCCUACCUGUAAGGUGUAAAUGGGAUCUAUUACAUUGUUUGGCAAGUAGAUAGGUGGCUUAGUUAGUAGGUAUACUUUAUUGGGUCCUUGGAGUGAGAUUGCUUUUCUGCAGAAGGUUUGGGUACAUAGCAAAGACAUGAACAUGACAGCAGACAACACUGCAAUGCAACAUGCCAACUACUCACAUGUAACUAUUGCAUCCUGUCACAAAUAACGGCACAUUCUGUCCUCUGAGCCGUGAUAACACACAAUGUGUAACAUUUAACUUAUGAUUUAAGUUCUAUGGAUAAUUCCCUUCUAUGAUAUUCCAUUUGCGAGCUAUAUAAGCGUUUCAAGCGUGUCAGAGAGUUUUUGCAGCUGGCCCAUGUUGACAUUUUGUGUGACGCUGCUUGGGGGCUACAAACAUGGCGUCAUUUAUGUAGAAGUAGGUGGAAGGGUGUCACCUCUUUCCUGGUCUAUAACUCUGUCAAUCAGAACCCAGAAAAUACAACCGGGGGGCUCUAUCAUAAAGCAGGAUUUCUUACUUAGACAGAUAACUUGUCAGACUGAAGGUAGUCUGGGCUAAAUGUAAGUGGAUGAAGAUAAAGUCCAUGUAAAUUAAGGUACCUUAAAUCAAAAAAACAAUUCAUCCUAAGCAAGACAUAGGCCCAUGUUCUCCGCGCAGUUCAGGGUCCCCUAAUUUAAAUGGACUUUAUCUUAGUUCACUUAUAUUUAGCCCAGGCUACCUUCGAUCUGACAAGUUCUCGACUAAUCUCAUCUUACGUCUACAUGCAGUCACUCACAACAAACAGGGACAUAUAUGUGUGAUUUUAGGGCUUACAAACAUGUCUGACUGUUAAACUUUGUUCGUUUUACCCGGAAACAUUGGUAGCUGUCCAGGGCAGCACUUUGCCACACAAAAAAAGAUAGAGGUUGAAGGGGGGAUUCAUCGAGAAGAUCAUACAGUACAAGAUAGAACUUCAUUAACCAUAAAAGAUUUUAAAAACUAUCCAAGACUUAACCUGUACUCCCAGCAUUCCCCAGUAUCAAAAUGUACCUAUGCUCUUUUGGACAUACUGGUGCUGGCCCUAGUCCAUUUUACCUACAUUGCAACUCUGCCCUAGCUAAUUUUUCUACAUGUCCUACCGGUUGAAUGCCUGGCUCAGGCAGAUUGGCUGCACUCCUCAGCCUGUCUCACCAAGAUUACAGAGAAAGAGCAAAACUGUCAUAUCCAACAGCUAGAUUUUCUGCCUGAUGAUUUCUGAGAAUUUGAAAGGGCAUCACAGGAAACAUGUAAGUGGUGGGACUUGGGGCAGCUCUCGGGAGUCAUGGCUUUUGAUUUAGAUUUGCUUUUGAUUUCAGAUAGACAGAAACGGGAAGAGUAAAGAAACAGAGCCUUGUUUUGAUCCAGGCUGAGGUGCAGGUGGCACACAGGCUAAUAGGUUCAAAACCAAAGAAAUAUCCUGUUAGCAAACACAGCAGCUGGAACAGAGGGAUGGGACAUGAAGGAACAGAAAAGCAAAACAGAAACUGAAGGAGACUCUGACCAUGCAGCCAUGCAAAAUCAAAAUAUGGACAUCAGAAAGCACGAGCUUAGCUAUAAAAAACAAAUAUCUAUGCUUUCACUACCAGAGCUACAUGUCUCAAGGGUGAGAAAGGUUUGCUCUUCCAAUUAUUCAAUUCCAGCGCUUCUUACUUAAAUGUGAUUGCAAGGCUGAGGGUGCAGUUCCUUUCCUCCACUGGCUUAGCAAGACAGUGGAACCCAUGGUGAGCCUGUAGCAGGAGUAACCAGUAAUCAGACACAUUCAACAAACUAAAUGCAUUUUUGCCUUUAUGGGAAUUUAUUAAGAAGGCCAUAAUGCUUUGCUUGGUGUGGCAAUGGUCUGUAGUUUUCCACUUGUCAUUGAUCUACCUGAUCUGCCCAUUUCUUCUUCCCGGAUCUCCUAGGAAUGUAAAGUCAGCUGAUGUACUUAGUGCUCUCCAAAUAAUUGUUAUUAUGAGCAUUCCUCGGUCAGCAGUGCUUUUCUGCUGGGCUACAACAUUGGAAUUGGCAGGGGGCCGCUAUACUAGGUGCUGGAGGAAAGCGUGAGAGACUGGCAUUCAGCUGGAGCAGCAAUGGACUGCAGGACCCUAGAUGGAUGGAUGGAUCAUUGGCUUUGUCAUCCCGACGCAUCACAAACUGUCAUCUGAUCAUUAGUGGAAGAUGCUGGUGUGCCGAGCACAGGAGAAAGAACAUGAAACAGAUGAAAGAUGCUCCCAAUAUCUGCUGAAUCACUUAUACUACAUACUGUAAAUGCAAGCUGAAAGUUUAGCUUUCCAUGUUUUAAAAUUAAGAUUUUCAUAACUCUCCAGGGAACAUUUCCUUAGUUUUACAGUGUUAGAUAUUUAAGGUGUCUAAGAUAAACAAAAUGUGGAAGGAAAGUUGUGUACAGUAUAUGGGUUCGGGAUACGUCUGUGUAGGUUCUCAAUAGAGUCCGGAUUGGACUACAAACAUCUUAAAAUUCAUAGCAGGAGUCUGCUGCAUUGUAUAUUUCAUCUUCACAACAAUGAUCUUUAU